rnacentral:rRNA from 1 species
GCAGCAVUGGGGAAUCUUAGACAAUGGGCGCAAGCCUGAUCUAGCCAUGCCGCGUGUGUGAUGAAGGUCUUAGGAUCGUAAAGCACUUUCGCCAGGGAUGAUAAUGACAGUACCUGGUAAAGAAACCCCGGCUAACUCCGUGCCAGCAGCCGCGGUAAUACGGAGGGGGUUAGCGUUGUUCGGAAUUACUGGGCGUAAAGCGUACGUAGGCGGAUUGGAAAGUURGGGGUGAAAUCCCAGGGCUCAACCCUGGAACUGCCUUCCAAAACUAUCAGUCUAGAGUUCGAGAGAGGUGAGUGGAAUUCCAAGUGUAGAGGUGAAAUUCGUAGAUAUUUGGAGGAACACCAGUGGCGAAGGCGGCUCACUGGCUCGAUACUGACGCUGAGGUACGAAAGUGUGGGGAGCAAACAGGAUUAGAUACCCUGGUAGUCCACACCGUAAACGAUGAAUGCCAGUCGUCGGGCAGUAUACUGUUCGGUGACACACCUAACGGAUUAASCAUUCCGCCUGGGGAGUACGGUCGCMAGAUUAANACUCAAAGGAAUUGA